AGUGAACGCUGGCGGUAGGCCUAACACAUGCAAGUCGGACGGCAGCUCAGUAAGAGCUUGCUCUUACGGGUGGCGAGUGGCGGACGGGUGAGGAAUACAUCGGAAUCUACUUUUUCGUGGGGGAUAACGUAGGGAAACUUACGCUAAUACCGCAUACGACCUACGGGUGAAAGCAGGGGAUCUUCGGACCUUGCGCGAUUGAAUGAGCCGAUGUCGGAUUAGCUAGUUGGCGGGGUAAAGGCCCACCAAGGCGACGAUCCGUAGCUGGUCUGAGAGGAUGAUCAGCCACACUGGAACUGAGACACGGUCCAGACUCCUACGGGAGGCAGCAGUGGGGAAUAUUGGACAAUGGGCGCAAGCCUGAUCCAGCCAUACCGCGUGGGUGAAGAAGGCCUUCGGGUUGUAAAGCCCUUUUGUUGGGAAAGAAAAGCAGCAGGUUAAUACCCCGCUGUUCUGACGGUACCCAAAGAAUAAGCACCGGCUAACUUCGUG
rnacentral:rRNA from 1 species